UGUGGCGCUAAAGUCAAGUGACGACGCUAUAAAGACCACUGCUGUGCUUGCGUCACUCCCUUACCCCUCCUACCAGUUCCUAUGGACACUUGGCCAGUGUGAAUGCAAAUGGAAAAAACGAUUUCGGAGGAGAGU